rnacentral:rRNA from 1 species
AUUGAACGCUGGCGGCAGGCCUAACACAUGCAAGUCGAGCGGAUGAAGGGAGCUUGCUCCUGGAUUCAGCGGCGGACGGGUGAGUAAUGCCUAGGAAUCUGCCUGGUAGUGGGGGAUAACGUCCGGAAACGGGCGCUAAUACCGCAUACGUCCUGAGGGAGAAAGUGGGGGAUCUUCGGACCUCACGCUAUCAGAUGAGCCUAGGUCGGAUUAGCUAGUUGGUGGGGUAAAGGCCUACCAAGGCGACGAUCCGUAACUGGUCUGAGAGGAUGAUCAGUCACACUGGAACUGAGACGCGGUCCAGACUCCUACGGGAGGCAGCAGUGGGGAAUAUUGGACAAUGGGCGAAAGCCUGAUCCAGCCAUGCCGCGUGUGUGAAGAAGGUCUUCGGAUUGUAAAGCACUUUAAGUUGGGAGGAAGGGCAGUAAGUUAAUACCUUGCUGUUUUGACGUUACCAACAGAAUAAGCACCGACUAACUUCGUG